rnacentral:ncRNA from 1 species
GCCCGUUCUCAGGGCGGGGUGAAAUUCCCCACCGGCGGUAUGCGGGCGAUGAUCCGUAAGCCCGCGAGCGGCCCCAGUGUGCGGGGUGUCAGCAGAUCUGGUGAGAUGCCAGAGCCGACGGUUAUAGUCCGGAUGAAAGAGAACGUGC